ACAAUGGAGAGUUUGAUCCUGGCUCAGGAUGAACGCUAGCGGCAGGCCUAAUACAUGCAAGUCGAACGGUAAGGUCCCUUCGGGGACUACGAGUGGCGGACGGGUGCGUAACACGUAUGCAACCUACCCUAAAGAGGGGGAAAGUCAGUGGAAACGCUGAAUAAUCCCGCAUGUUAUCAACUAUUCGCAUGUUUGGUUGAUAAAAACUUUGGUGCUUUAGGAUGGGCAUGCGUCCCAUUAGUUAGUUGG
rnacentral:rRNA from 1 species